GAUGAAGAACGUAGCGAAAUGCGAUAAGUAAUGUGAAUUGCAGAAUUCAGUGAAUCAUCGAAUCUUUGAACGCACAUUGCGCCCCUUGGUAUUCCGGGGGGCAUACCUGUUCGAGCGUCAUUUCAACCCUCAAGCUUCUGCUUGGUCUUGGGCCGUGCCGGCAACGGCUGGCCUUAAAACUAGUGGCGGUGCCAUCGAGCUCUACGCGUAGUAAUUCUAUCUCGCGUCUGGGCUUCGGUGGACGCUGGCCAGCAACCCCCAAUUUUCUAUGGUUGACCUCGGAUCAGGUAGGGAUACCCGCUGAACUUAAGCAUAUCAAUAAGCGGAGGA
rnacentral:misc_RNA from 1 species